rnacentral:piRNA from 1 species
UAUUAUUUAAAAAGGAAACAAUGGAUUUGA